GAGAGAGGAAGAGCAGCCGCCGCGACAGCAAGUCGUGAGGAAAGUCCCUCCACCACUGGACACACGGAUGCCGAAAUGGCAUAGGGCGAGAGUUCUGGCUCUGACACAGAAACGUAACCACGAUUGUGCCAAUGCAAUGAUGCCGGAAGGCUGAGGUCGCAUGUCGUUUGGAUGAAACGGUGAAUCCCCGUGGGUGCAAGUCAACACAGGGCAAAAAGCGCGAGAGCGGAGUCCAGCCGUGCCCGGGUAUGGCGCGUAGUCGAAUGCUGCUAUGAACAGAAGGGGGCUUACUCUCCUCACUC
rnacentral:RNase_P_RNA from 1 species